CAUAAAUCAUCAGCAGGGUCUGUACCUGGUAAGGACAACAGCUGGAUUAUAGGCAUCUCACUGGUAUGUUCCCAUCUGGCUUCAAUUCUUUUUACAUGCAAAUCUAUAGUGAUCCAGGUCCCACCAGAGACCAUUUGAAAUUCAGCCACAGCUGAGCCAGGUGCAGGGAACUCCAGGUGGGGGCACAAGGAGAGUUAAUAGGGCUCCCUCUUCCUCUCCUUUCUCAUUUAAAAAUAGCCCUCUUGCUGUAUUCCUGCUUCUGUCAGUUAAUGUCAGCAUCCCAUCCACAAGAUACAAUACAGAGUCUCUAUGCCCUGUGGAAAUUGGGAGAAUGCAUUCUUUCAUCAGUCUUCACAAAGUGCUCACAACUGGGAAAAAACAAAGAACAGAAAUAGUCACUGACUUUGGAACAGAGAUGAGGAAAUAAGAGGGACAUUAACUGCCAUCAAAGAAGCAGAAAUCUGUGCAUGCUUGUAAACAGGAAGCUCUGAACUUAAACUGUACAUCACACUCAGAUAUCUUCUCUUGAAAUGUCUCCUCAGGUAAGGCCACUAACAUACUUGCACUCAUCCAUUUAAAUUACAGAACGAGGAAGUAGGUUAGUUACAAAGAAAAUGGACCUAUUCCUCAUAACAGAAUCAGUCUGCCUGGUGGUUUAUUUGUAAAUAAAUGAAGCGAUAGGGAAUGAGUGAAGACACACAGAUGUAUACAGGUUAGGAACAAAGAUCUCUUUUGCUUUCU
rnacentral:lncRNA from 1 species